CCCUAUGGGGCGCAGGACAGCGGCUUUUGCUACAUGAUGUAUAAAUGCCUGUCCGAAACCUUUGAAAACGGGGGUGUCUGGAAUAGAGAGGUUCAUAUCCUCGAUGUGGAUGAAGACUAUAUGCCCAAAAUCACUUAUAAAAUCAAACUGAACCAUACCUGCCGUGAAAAAGUUAAAGUUAUAGCCGGAGUUUCCACCGACACCACCGAUGCGGCCCCGGCAUGGCUGAUGGAAUGCCCGAUCAUCGACUACCAGGGCUCCUACCACUAUAUGCAGGGCCAUGAUACGGCCGAUUCGCAGAAGACACUGGAGUUCGGGCUCGAUGUGACCCCGUUGCUGUGCCAUUUGAAACCCGGUGAGCCGGCGAGGUUCUUUUUUGUUGUCGACGAAAAUGAUCCUGAUUUUGAAGGAAUUGGCGGGGGAGC
rnacentral:rRNA from 1 species